CACCUCAACAAAUAUUUAUUGAACACCAACUUAUGCUGGGCCCUUCCAGAGAAAAAAAAGGUAAGUAAGAUUUGAUUGCUGCUGCCUAAAGAACUUUCAAUUCAAUAAUGGAGAUACAUUUGUAUGGAGCAUUCCAGCUUAGUUUGGGGGAACGAAAAGGAGCUGGCCAAAAGAAGAGCAUUCCAGAGGAUGAAACAGCCUGCAGAAAGGUACAAUAAUGAACAAGACUGGGUUUUCCAAGAUUUAAAAGAAGCAGUGGUGGAAAAACUGGAGACAAGGUUGGAGAGAUCUCAGACAAGUCACUUCUCUGAGUAUCAAUUUCCAAGCUAUCAGUGGUGACAACAAUACCUAGCUCUAAUCCUAUAAAGAUUAAGGCUUCCAUGUCCCCUGACCUAUCAUCCACUGCAGUGCUGGGACAUCAGUGAAUCAAUGGAUUCUUGGGUCUACUAAGUUCCAUGUUUGGACCAGGUAACUGAAGCAGAGGACAUCUGCCCAAUGCCAAGUAUGAUGAUGUGUGGAAAAACUAAUCCACAUAGUGUGCUAUUGUCAACCUUCAUCAUUGAUUUGGGUCACUGACUUGGGAAUCUACAUAGAUCACUGAGAUCCACAGUGGAAAAUGUCUCUGAAAUGAAACACUUUUUCCUAGACCUGCUGCUUUCACACCAAGACCUCCAGAGAGGCUC